CCCACCGAGGCGACGAUGCGUAGGGGUUCUGAGAGGAAGGUCCCCCACACUGGUACUGAGACACGGACCAGACUCCUACGGGAGGCAGCAGUGAGGAAUAUUGGUCAAUGGGCGCGAGCCUGAACCAGCCAAGUCGCGUGAGGGAUGACGGUCCUACGGAUUGUAAACCUCUUUUGCCGGGGAGCAAGCGUGCGUUCGUGAACGCGCGUCGAGAGUACCCGGAGAAAAAGCAUCGGCUAACUCCGUGCCAGCAGCCGCGGUAAUACGGAGGAUGCGAGCGUUAUCCGGAUUUAUUGGGUUUAAAGGGUGCGUAGGCGGGAUGCCAAGUCAGCGGUAAAAAUGCGGUGCUCAACGCCGUCGAGCCGUUGAAACUGGCGUUCUUGAGUGGGCGAGAAGUAUGCGGAAUGCGUGGUGUAGCGGUGAAAUGCAUAGAUAUCACGCAGAACUCCGAUUGCGAAGGCAGCAUACCGGCGCCCUACUGACGCUGAGGCACGAAAGCGUGGGUAUCGAACAGGAUUAGAUACCCUGGUAGUCCACGCAGUAAACGAUGAAUGCUAACUGUCCGGCUCGAAUGAGCGCUGGGCGGU
rnacentral:rRNA from 1 species